UACGUAGGGGGCAAGCGUUGUCCGGAUUUAUUGGGCGUAAAGCGCUCGCAGGUGGUUCGUUGCGUCGUGCGUGAAAGACCCCGGCUCAACUGGGGAGUGUCGUGCGAUACGGGCGGACUGGAGGCCAGUAGGGGGAUGCGGAAUUCCGGGUGUAGUGGUGGAAUGCGUAGAGAUCCGGAGGAACACCAGCGGCGAAGGCGGCAUCCUGGACUGGUCCUGACACUCAGGAGCGAAAGCGUGGGGAGCGAACAGG
rnacentral:rRNA from 1 species